GUGCUCGUUAAGGCAGCACUUACACUAAAAACGGAGCAACAAAGAGAUUAGCAUGGCCCCUGCACAAGGAUGAUGUGAAAAUUCGUGAAAUGUUCCAGAUUUAA